GACGAACGCUGGCGGCGUGCUUAACACAUGCAAGUCGAGCGGUAAGGCCCUUUCGGGGGUACACGAGCGGCGAACGGGUGAGUAACACGUGGGUGACCUGCCCUCAGCUCUGGGAUAAGCCUGGGAAACCGGGUCUAAUACCGGAUAUGACUCCAUGACGCAUGUUGUGGGGUGGAAAGCCUUGUGCGGCUGAGGAUGGGCCCGCGGCCUAUCAGCUUGUUGGUGGGGUGAUGGCCUACCAAGGCGACGACGGGUAGCCGGCCUGAGAGGGCGACCGGCCACACUGGGGCUGAGACACGGCCCAGACUCCUACGGGAGGCAGCAGUGGGGAAUCUUGCGCAAUGGGCGAAAGCCUGACGCAGCGACGCCGCGUGA
rnacentral:rRNA from 1 species